rnacentral:rRNA from 1 species
GACGAACGCUGGCGGCGUGCUUAACACAUGCAAGUCGAACGGAAAGGCCUCUUUCGGGGGGUACUCGAGUGGCGAACGGGUGAGUAACACGUGAGUAACCUGCCCUUGACUUUGGGAUAACUUCAGGAAACUGGGGCUAAUACCGGAUAGGAGCUCCUGCUGCAUGGUGGGGGUUGGAAAGUUUCGGCGGUUGGGGAUGGACUCGCGGCUUAUCAGCUUGUUGGUGGGUAGUGGCUUACCAAGGCCUUGACGGGUAGCCGGCCUGGGAGGGUGACCGGCCACAUUGGGACUGAGAUACGGCCCAGACUCCUACGGGAGGCAGCAGUGGGGAAUAUUGCACAAUGGGUGGAAGCCUGAUGCAGCAACGCCGUGUGCGGGAUGACGGCCUUCGGGUUGUAAACCGCUUUCGCUCAUGACGAAGCUUUGUGUGACGGUAGUGGGUAAAGAAGCACCGGCUAACUACGUG